rnacentral:rRNA from 1 species
GGUGGUGCAUGGUUGUCGUCAGCUCGUGUCGUGAGAUGUUGGGUUAAGUCCCGCAACGAGCGCAACCCUUAUUGUUAGUUGCCAUCAUUUAGUUGGGCACUCUAGCGAGACUGCCGGUGACAAACCGGAGGAAGGUGGGGAUGACGUCAAAUCAUCAUGCCCCUUAUGACCUGGGCUACACACGUGCUACAAUGGGAAGUACAACGAGUCGCUAGACCGCGAGGUCAUGCAAAUCUCUU